AACGUAGGAGGCAAGCGUUAUUCGGAUUUACUGGGCGUAAAGCGCGUGCAGGCGGUUUGGUAAGUUGGAUGUGAAAGCUCCUGGCUCAACUGGGAGAGGUCGUUCAAUACUACCAGACUAGAGGGCGGUAGAGGAAGGCGGAAUUCCGGGUGUAGUGGUGAAAUGCGUAGAUAUCCGGAGGAACACCAGUGGCGAAAGCGGCCUUCUGGACCGAUCCUGACGCUCAUACGCGAAAGCUAGGGUAGCAAACGGG
rnacentral:rRNA from 1 species